GAGGCGGAGGCGGAGGCGGAGGCGGAGGCGGAGGCGGAGGCGGAGGCGGAGGCGGAGGCGGAGGCGGAGGCGGAGGCGGAGGCGGAGGCGGAACGAGCCCUACGGGCUACCUUCCUGCGUGGUCUCUUGUCUCUUCUAACUCCGGAGAAAACACGGAAGAAAAUUUUUGUGACCUUGGGUUUGUGACCAGAUUUUUUAGAUACAUCUCUGAAGGACAUGAUCCAUGAAUGAAAAGAAAUUGGCAAAUCGGACUUCAUCAAAAUUAAGAACUUCUGCUCUCUGAAAGACACUUAAGAGAAUGAAAAGACAAGCCACAGACUAGGAGAAAACAUUGGCAAAUUACACAUCUGGUAUGGACUUGUAUCCAGAAUAUAUAAAGCACUUUCAAAACUCAAUAAGAAGGGAAUUCCCUGGUGGCCUAGUGGUUAGGAUUCCAGUCUUUCACUACAGUGGCCCUGGGUUCAAUCCCUGGUCCCCUGGUUGGGGAACUGAGAUCCUGCAAGCCGCACAGCCCAGCCAAAAAAAAAACAACCCACAGGUGAAUGGAUAAACAAAUUGUUAUAUAUUCACAUAAUGGAAUACUGCUGUGCAAUAAAAAAGGAUGAACUAUUGAUACAUGUAACAAUGUGGAUGAAUCAAAAUAAUUUGUUGUGUGAAAGAAGCCAGACAUACUGUAUGAUUCCACUUAUAUAAAUCUCUAGAAGAUACAAACUAAUCUUAAGUGGCAACACUAUAGAUUGUCAUUGCCUGGAUGAGGGGGACUAAUAUUCAUUUUAAAAUAAUAUCUCAGAUCUAAUUGGUUUUUAAAUGAGUCAAAAAAUUUUAGCUCUAUUUUGUUAAAAUAAGUGUUCUGUGGACUUUUGUUUUCCUUUUUAAAGGAGACAAAUCUCCCUUAACUUAGACAAGUGGUAUAAGAAAUAUUGUCUAUUCUUCUAUAUAUGGCAUGUUCCAUAUGUUCCGAAUGUUUCAGAUAAAAAAGUUUGGAGCCGAUUGAAGAAAUCUGGAGCCAGUUGAAAUUUGAGCUGGCCAAUUUUAACUUGAUCCUAUGCCCAAAAUAAAAUACAGGUCAACUGGUGUGUUAAAGGCAAUAAAAUAAGAGUUGUCGUUUAUACUG